rnacentral:rRNA from 1 species
UACGAAGGGAGCUAGCGUUGUCCGGAAUCAUUGGGCGUAAAGCGCGCGCAGGCGGCCCGCGAGGUGUCACGUGAAAGCCCCGGGCUCAACCCGGGAGGGUCGUGGCAAACCGGCGGGCUUGAGGCCGGUAGAGGUGGGUGGAACUCCUGGUGGAGUGGUGAAAUGCGUAGAGAUCAGGAAGAACACCCGUGGCGAAGGCGGCCCACUGGGCCGGUACUGACGCUGAGGCGCGAAGGCGUGGGGAGCGAACAGG